rnacentral:rRNA from 1 species
UACGUAGGGUGCAAGCGUUAAUCGGAAUUACUGGGCGUAAAGCGUGCGCAGGCGGUUAUGUAAGACAGUUGUGAAAUCCCCGGGCUCAACCUGGGAACUGGCAUCUGUGACUGCAUAGCUAGAGUACGGUAGAGGGGGAUGGAAUUCCGCGUGUAGCAGUGAAAUGCGUAGAUAUGCGGAGGAACACCGAUGGCGAAGGCAAUCCCCUGGACCUGUACUGACGCUCAUGCA